rnacentral:rRNA from 1 species
UACUAGAGUAGCACUCGCAUAUCAAUAAGCGGAGGAAAAGAAACUAACAAGGAUUCCCCCUAGUAACGGCGAGUGAAGCGGGAAGAGCUCAAAUUUGAAAUCUUAAAGGGUUUCCCUUUACGAAUUGUAGUUUAAAGAAGUGUUUUCUGUUGAGGUUUUGGUAAAAGUUCUUUGGAAUAGGACAUCAUAGAGGGUGAGAAUCCCGUAUUUGACCCUUACUUUCAACUUUGUGAUACACUUUCAAAGAGUCGGAUUGUUUGGGAAUGCAGUCCAAAAUGGGUGGUAAAUUUCAUCUAAAGCUAAAUAUUGGCGAGAGACCGAUAGCGAACAAGUACCGUGAGGGAAAGAUGAAAAGAACUUUGAAAAGAGAGUUAAACAGUACGUGAAAUUGUCAAAAGGGAAGCGUUUGACACCAGUGUUGUUUUUCUGAAAAUCAAUUAAAGAACUGUUUAUGCUAAGUUGUUUAGACUUUAUCAGCUAACUGUUUAGUUUUGAGCUUUUCUUUAAUGCACUUUUCAGUUAACAAGUCAACAUCAAUUUCUUUUGCUGUAAAAAAGCUUGAGGAAGGUGGCUUGAGAUUCGUCUUAAGUGUUUAUAGCCUCUUGCCUAUGCAGUCGGAGAGAUUGAGGUCUGCAGCGUAGAUCCUUCGGGGCUAAAUGCAUUUGUGCUAAGUUAUAGCAUUUUAUAGACAACUUGUUGACUAUGAUUUGUCUUGUAGCUUACUCGCUUAUGUUAUUUUACCUACGCUUAGGAUGUUGAUCUCUCACAGUCGAGC